UGUGCUUCCAACUUAGCUGUCUCGUUUUGGGUGUAAAUGGCGGCGUCUGUGACUUUUUGAAAGCAUCCUGUCCUUGUGUGUUUGUGAAUACUUAAACGACCACAUUGAUACUCUUCGUUCCACGGCGGACAACAUAAUGGAGUGCAACGAAUCGCCGUGUUCCUGCUGGUGACUACUGUUCCAGGAUUGGUCUGCUACACUGUCCGGCAGAGCCCGUAAUUGGUUCGACGGGAUUUGCAUGGCGCGGGAUCUUUUCCCAGAGGGAUUCACCCCCGAAGAAUGCCAACUGUCCGGCCGGGAGACGUCUGCGCCCAUUUGGAUAACCGAGUCGUUGCCGCAGAACGGCGGUUCACGUGUGCAAGCACAAGCGCCUGUAAAAAACAUCGCCAAUUUUACAAGAGGCAGAUUCGUUCGACGUGCCGCAAUGAAGAUGAGCUUGCAAG